rnacentral:lncRNA from 1 species
UUUAAAAAUCACCUUCGUCCAUUUCUCUCAUUUUCGGUGUCUUCCAGGCAGCUGCUCCCUUAUCUCUGAUCUAUGAGGGCUUUGUGAUUUCUGCUAUGAGUAAUAGAGAUAUUUCCAGAAAGGAAAACAAAUCCCUGCUUCACCCCCAACCUUCUGCAGAGGAAGAAAGUACUAUGAAAAUAACAAGGACCCUGGGAAGAAUGAGGAAGAAGAAAGCAGCAGAGUGAAGAUGCUUGCAGGUACAUAUGACAGUGCUGCAGCGAUGAGCGGAAUUUUAAAAGGGAAGUUGGAAGAAAUUGACGGCUCCUCACCCUGCUCCUCUGUGCAAGAAUCCGAUGAUGAAGUUUUUAGCUCUGACAUUGCUGCCAGUAUUGAUAGGGUCAGUCUGUCCACUUCUAAUCAUUUCACUGGUGAGUAUCUGAGAUUCUAUUUCAGGUACUCUAAAUUGUGUUGUGUGGCUGAUUCUAGGCGUUUUUAUAUGUAUCCACUGGCUAUAUCUGCACUCAAGCUGUUUAUCAUAGCAGACUUAAUUUGCAAAACAUAA